UUUUCCAUGAUGGUGAAAGUAUAGUCCAUAGAAGAGGAAGGAGAUGGGAGCCAGCCCAGAUUAUUAAAUCAAAUAAAACACCAAGAUCCUACAUAAUAAGAACUGAGGAUGGUCAAGCAUUAAUUAGGAACUCAGUCCAUCUACGCGAAUCAAGAAAUCCUUUCACUAUCAAUAGAGAUAUAAAUAAUGAUUCUGCUUUGGAAAAUAACAUUAUUGAAAGUAGUAAAUCGAAUACUGUUCCAGCUCAACCAUCGAAUACUGUUCCAGCUCAAUCACCUCAACUUCCGCAGGGGAAUCCUGAGGUCACCUCUGAAACCCAUAACUCAGCUCAACCUAUGUCUAGAUAUGGAAGACAGAUCAUUAAACCGAGAAGAUUGGUGGAAGAAUAAACAUUAUAAUUUAAUUGGUAUAAUUUUAUGUAUAUUGUGAAAAUUUAUGUUAUGUUUUAAUCAGUUGUAUUUUGUGUCUAUUAUGAAAAUUUAUCUUAUUUUGUAGAAUUGUUAAUCUUUAGUUUAAAUAAAAGAAAGGAGAUGUGGUAACACUGUUACUAAACACGUCAGAACCAAAAAAUAGAAUUAGCUGUCAUUAAGUACAUAAGUAGUCAGGUUCACAAAUUAAUUUAAAUAAAGUUAUGUUAAAGACUGGUGACUUUAAUUUACAAACUAUUAAUACAACAU
rnacentral:misc_RNA from 1 species